rnacentral:lncRNA from 1 species
NNNNNNNNNNNNUCGGGGUCGGGGUCGGGGUCGGGGUCGGGGUCCUCCCAGGGCCUACAGCAGCCCAGGGUCCCCACCGUACCUCCACGUCAGGCCCAGGAUCUUCAUCAUCAUCAUCAUUGACAUCCCCAUCACCACCACCACCAUCAUCAUCCUCAUCAUCAUCGCCACCAUCAUCAUCAUCAUCAUCAUCGAUAUCAUUGACAUCCCCAUCAUCAUCACCAUCAUCACCACCACCACUCAGAUCAACAGCCCCUUCCCCCCAUCAUCAUCAUCACCCUUCUCACCCUCAUCCCCACCACCAUCCCCAUCAUGGCCAUCAUCAUCAUCACCACCAUCAUCCCCACCAUCACCAUCCCCCCACCACUGUCACCACCACCAUCAUCAUCACCAUCAUCCCCAUCAUCAUCAUCACCACUACCAUCAUCCCCAUCAUCACCAGCCCCCCCCCACCAGCAUCAUCACCAUCUCCAUCAUUGACAUCGUCAUCGUCACCACCAUCCCCAUCAUCAUCGCCAUCACUGACAUCCCCAACACCACCACCACCCCCAUCGUCAUCACCAUCAUCACCAUCACCAUCAUCAUCGUCAUCACCAUCAUCACCAUCAUCAUCAUCACCACCAUCCCCAUCACUGCCAUCACUGCCAUCACCCCCAUCACCCCCAUCAUCAUCCCCAUCACCACCACCACCAUUAUCACCACCACCCCCAGCACCCCCAGCACCACCAUCAUCACCAUCAUCACCAUCACCACCAUCAUCACCAUCAUCACCAUCACCACCAUCACCACCAUCAUCACCAUCACCACCACCAGCACCACCAUCAGGAUGGGAGCAGGGCUCUGGCCUCAGCCCCGUGCACAGGGACGGGGACCGGAAUGGGGACAGGGACAUGGAUGGGGACACGGGGACACAGCGGACACACCACGAGAGGAUCCACGCGUGGGGCAGCACUCGGCUGUAUUUCAUCCGGGCAGGAUCCACCCGCCCCACGGCCACCCCCCCGCACCCCCUGAGCCCCCCCCGAGCCCCCCGGGAGCGCCGCAGCCCCCUGGAAAACGGGGGCAAGAAUAAAUCCGGCAGCGGGCAGCGCCCGGCGCCGGCUCAGCCGAAGGGACCCUUGGCGUUUUUGGGUUGGAAGAGGGGCUGCUCCACGGGCAGGGCGCCCAGGCACUCGGCGGGGCUGCAGUGCCCGGUUUUGCCCGGUGGUCCCGUGGCCCCCGGGGGGCCGGGGAUACCGGGGAUGCCCUGCUGGCCCACGGGGCCCGGCGGGCCCAUCUUCCCGUAGCCCGGUGGUCCCUGGGGGCCUGCGAGGGGAAAGAGAGGUGGAGGAAGGGGGCGCGGGGCAGGCGGUGCCCAGCAGGCGGGUGGGGGCGGGCGGGGGGCUCACCUGGGGGGCCUGGGGGGCCGCUGUCCCCCAUCAUCCCCACGCCUUUCUCCCCUUUCUCUCCUUUGGCGCCCGGUUCUCCUGGGGGAGAGGGGAGGAGGGUGAGACCCCGGCACGGGGGGUGUUUGGGGACCCCCCAGUUUUUGGGGACACCCCGGUGCCCGGGGACACCGAGGACACCGCGGGCGGCACCUACCCCGCAUGCCCGGCACUCCCUGCCGCCCCUCUCUGCCGAUCUGCCCCGGCAGCCCCGGGGAGCCGGGGGGUCCCGG